UGGGGAAUAUUGGACAAUGGGCGAGAGCCUGAACCAGCCAUGCCGCGUGCAGGAAGACGGCCUUCUGGGUUGUAAACUGCUUUUAUACAGGAAUAAAAGGGCUCUGCGGGGCGGAUUGCAUGUACUGUAUGAAUAAGCACCGGCUAACUCUGUGCCAGCAGCCGCGGUAAUACAGAGGGUGCAAACGUUGCUCGGAAUGACUGGGCGUAAAGCGCGCGCAGGUGGCCCGUUAAGUUGGCUGUGAAAUCCCCUGGCUCAACCAGGGAAGUGCAGUCGAUACUGGCGGGCUCGAGUCCCGGAGAGGGUGGUAGAAUUCCCAGUGUAGAGGUGAAAUUCGUAGAUAUUGGGAGGAAUACCGGUGGCGAAGGCGACCGCCUGGACGGGUACUGACACUGAGGCGCGAAAGCGUGGGGAGCAAACAGGAUUAGAUACCCGGGUAGUCC
rnacentral:rRNA from 1 species